CAAAAAGAUGACUAGGGUUCCGGCUUUUAUUUUAUAAGAGUGUCUGGUCCGAGAGUUGUCGGCCAAUCAACAUGUGGCUACACGGAGGGAUAAAAGCCCGGGAGGA
rnacentral:sRNA from 2 species